AAAUUGAAGAGUUUGAUCAUGGCUCAGAUUGAACGCUGGCGGCAGGCCUAACACAUGCAAGUCGAGCGGAAACGAGUUAUCUGAACCUUCGGGGGACGAUAACGGCGUCGAGCGGCGGACGGGUGAGUAAUGCCUAGGAAAUUGCCCUGGUGUGGGGGAUAACCAUUGGAAACGAUGGCUAAUACCGCAUAAUACCUACGGGUCAAAGAGGGGGACCUUCGGGCCUCUCGCGUCAGGAUAUGCCUAGG
rnacentral:rRNA from 1 species